rnacentral:rRNA from 1 species
AGUCGAACGGCGGUGCAUGACUUCUUGGUCUGCGGCGGAGCAUAACGGUGAGUAAUGUAUCGGAACGCCUAGUAGCGGAUAACUACGCGAAAGUAGGUUAUUACCGCAUGACAUACCUUCGGGGAAAGUGGGGACCUUCGGGCCUCGCACUAUUAGAGCGGCCGAUAUCGGAUUAGCUAGUUGGUGGGGUAACGGCUCACCAAGGCGACGAUCCGUAGCUGGUUUGAGAGACGACCAGCCACACUGACUGACACGGCCCAGACUCCUACGGAGGCAGCAGUGGGGAAUUUGACAAUGGGGGAAACCUCAUCCAGCCAUCCUGCGUGCGAUGAAGGCCUUCGGGUUGUAAAGCACUUUGGUAGGAAAGAACGACACGGGAUAAUACCCCGUGCAACUGACGGUACCCGCAGAAUAAGCACCGCUAACUACGUGCCAGCAGCUGCGGUAAUGAUGUAGGUGCAAGCGUUAAUCGGAAUUUUAUUGGGCGUAAGCGUGCGCAGGCGGUUCGGAAAGAAAGAUGGAACCCCGGUAGAGCUUAACAUCCCUGAACUGCAUUUUACCCAUUGAGUUGCCAGAGUGGCCAGAGGGAGGUGGUUCCGCGCAGGCAGUGAAAUGGCAGAUAUGCGGAGGAACACCGAUGGCGAAGGCAGCCUCCUGGGAGCAACACUUUGACGCUCACGAGGCAAGCGUGGGGAGCAAACAGGAUUAGAUACUCCUGGUAGUCCACGCCCUAAACGAUGUCAAUUUUAGCUGUUGGGGCCUUCGGCCUUUGGUAGCGCAGCUAACAGGUGAAGCGCUGACCGCCCAGAGCAUACCAAGACAAAUCUCAAAGGAAUUGACGGGGACCCGCACAAGCGGUGGAUGAUGUGAUUAAUUCGAUGCAACGCGAAAACCAUCACUCCUUGAUAUGUCUGGAAUCCCGAAGAGAUUUGGAGUGCUCGCAUAGAGCUAACGACAGGCGUUGUACGCAGCUGUCGUCAUCGUAAAUGAGAUGUUGGGUUAAGUCCCGCAACGAGCGCAACCUUGUCAUUAGUUGCUACGAAAGGGCACUCAUAUUUGACUGCCGGUGACAAACCGGAGGAAGGUGGGGAUGACGUCAAGUCCUCAUGGCCCUUGCGGUAGGGCUUCACACGUCAUACACUUGUCGGGACAGAGGGCUGCUGGGUCCGCGCAGGGAGCCAACUCAGAACCUGAUCAGGUCCGGAUCGCAGUUCAAAUCUCGACCCAGUAGUCGGAAUCGCUAGUAAUCGCGGAUCAGCAUGUCGCAGGAAUAUUGUUCCUUCGGGUCUUGUACACACUGCCCGUCACACCAUGGGAGUGGGUUUUACCAGAAGUAGUUAGGGUCAAUCAAGGGCGGACACGGCUGUAGGACCACGAUCAAAGGUGAAGUCAACAAGGUAG